rnacentral:rRNA from 1 species
UGGGGAAUAUUGCACAAUGGGGGAAACCCUGAUGCAGCGACGCCGCGUGAACGAAGAAGGUAUUCGUAUCGUAAAGUUCUGUCCUAUGGGAAGAUAAUGACAGUACCAUAAAAGAAAGCUCCGGCUAAAUACGUGCCAGCAGCCGCGGUAAUACGUAUGGAGCGAGCGUUGUCCGGAAUUAUUGGGCGUAAAGGGUACGCAGGCGGUUUAAUAAGUCGAAUGUUAAAGAUCGGGGCUCAACCCCGCAAAGCAUUGGAAACUGAUAAACUUGAGUAGUGGAGAGGAAAGUGGAAUUCCUAGUGUAGUGGUGAAAUACGUAGAUAUUAGGAGGAAUACCAGUAGCGAAGGCGACUUUCUGGACACAAACUGACGCUGAGGUACGAAAGCGUGGGGAGCAAACAGG